rnacentral:rRNA from 1 species
GUAGGUGGCAAGCGUUGUCCGGAAUUAUUGGGCGUAAAGCGCGCGCAGGCGGUUCUUUAAGUCUGAUGUGAAAGCCCACGGGCUCAACCGUGGAGGGUCAUUGGAAACUGGAGAACUUGAGUACAGAAGAGGAAAGCGGAACUCCACGUGUAGCGGUGAAAUGCGUAGAGAUGUGGAGGAACACCAGUGGCGAAGGCGGCUUUCUGGUCUGUAACUGACGCUGAGGCGCGAAAGCGUGGGGAGCAAACAGGAUUAGAUACCCUGGUAGUCCACGCCGUAAACGAUGAGUGCUAAGUGUUACGGGGGUUUCCGCCCCUUAGUGCUGCAGCUAACGCAUUAAGCACUCCGCCUGGGGAGUACGGCCGCAAAGGCUG